rnacentral:rRNA from 1 species
AAAACUUUCAACAACGGAUCUCUUGGUUCUGGCAUCGAUGAAGAACGCAGCGAAAUGCGAUAAGUAAUGUGAAUUGCAGAAUUCAGUGAACCAUCGAAUCUUUGAACGCACAUUGCGCCCCUUGGUAUUCCGGGGGGCAUGCCUGUUCGAGCGUCAUUG